GACGAACGCUGGCGGCGUGCUUAACACAUGCAAGUCGAACGGAAAGGCCCUUCGGGGUACUCGAGUGGCGCACGGGUGAGUAACACGUGGGUGAUCUGCCCUGCACUUUGGGAUAAGCCUGGGAAACUGGGUCUAAUACCGAAUAGGACCACGCGCUUCAUGGUGUGUGGUGGAAAGCUUUUGCGGUGUGGGAUGGGCCCGCGGCCUAUCAGCUUGUUGGUGGGGUAAUGGCCUACCAAGGCGACGACGGGUAGCCGGCCUGAGAGGGUGACCGGCCACACUGGGACUGGGAUACGGCCCAGACUCCUACGGGAUGCAGCAGUGGGGAAUAUUGCACAAUGGGCGCAAGCCUGAUGCAGCGACGCCGCGUGAGGGAUGACGGCCUUCGGGUUGUAAACCUCUUUCAAUAGGGACGAAGCGCAAGUGACGGUACCUAUAGAAGAAGCACCGGCCAACUACGUG
rnacentral:rRNA from 1 species